rnacentral:tRNA from 1 species
GGGGCUCUAGCUCAUAUGGUAGAGCGUUCCCUUCGCAUGGGAGAGGCACAGGGUUCGAUUCCCUGGUGCUCCA